AUUCCCGUCAUUGGGGAGUAGCCGACCGCUCGGGUUCGAGCGGGCCGCACGUCAACAUACUUGGUCGAGAGGCUAUGGCGUGCGGAGGGUGGCGCGAAGAUCGCGGAAGCGGUCGGCGCCGUUCGGGCGAGACCAAUGGCAUGGUGCCUUCU
rnacentral:sRNA from 1 species